ensembl:lncRNA
CCUCGUCUCCUUCUCAGUCUGCUCCCUCAGCCGUGGAUAAUGCCUCUUACACCCGGGAACCUCCUGUGACACCACCGUUUUCUGGUGAGCUAAACAAGUGCCAAGGAUUCCUUCUCCAAUGCAGACUCAUCUUUCAUCAGAAACCUCUGUCUUUUGCUUCGGAAUCAUCUAAGGUGCACUAUGCUAUGGGGUUACUUAGGGGAAGAGCUCUGGUUUGGGCUGAGGCUAUGUCCUCCAAUCAACAUCUCUCUAGCUUGACUUUUGCUGAGUUUUUGAUCACCCCGAUUACGUCGGAAACACUUCCAAGGAAUUGUUGGACCUCCGACAGGGCACAGAGCGUCGCGGAGUACUCCGUUGAUUUUUGGAUGUUGGCAGCUGAUUCCAAAUGGAAUGAGGAGGCGCUACGCAGCGCAUUUUUGCACGGUUUGCAUAAUUCGGUUAAAGAUGAACUCGCUCUUCGUGACGAACCCAGUAACCUGCACAGCCUCAUUUCCCUGGCGAUCAAGAUUGACAACAGGCUACGGGAGAGGCAUGGACCCACGCACGUUCCGGUUCGGAAUUCCAGAGCAGCUAAACCUCGGUCCUCACCGCCCUGUGGGGGGUUUUCGGUGGCUCCUGUUUCUGUUCCAAGAAAGGAAGAGGAACCCAUGCAAUUGGGCCGGGCUCGGUUAUCCCCAGCCGAACGGUUUUGCUGUCGACAGGCAGGUGAGUGCAUAUACUGUGGAGAUUCCGUCCAUUUCCUUGUGAAGUGUCCUGUACGCCCAAAAGACGAGGCUCGCUAGUUAGAGUGGGAACGCUAGCAAGCCCUAUUCAUGAAACUGAGUCCACAUUUCCUAGGUUGUCACUCCCUGCCACUAUCCAGUUUGGAACGCUAUCACUACAGUUAUCAGCCCUUAUAGAUUCAGGGGCAGAGGAUAACUAGACGUGAAUCUGGUUAAGCAGGCUAACAUCCCCCUCAGGCCACUUCCAUCCCCUAUUAACGUGACUACUAUUGUCAGCUACUAGCCACAGUGACCCAGCAAACGGUCCCGGUGUCUCUGCUCCUAUCCGGUAACGCGAGAUUUCUUUCAAAGUAGUGUCAGCUUCAUUUUCCCCUCUCAUUCUCGUAUUUCCCUGGCUCAGUUUACACAAUCCUCAAAUUGACUGGCAACACAGGAGUAUUAACGGUUGGAGUGGUUUUUGUCAUUCUUGCCUUGGUUCUGCUAUUCCUCCUAUCGCCAAUACAUCUACUGCAUCCGUUACACCGCCUGAUCUGUCAUCUAUUCCCCUGGAAUACCUGGACCUUGCCAAUGUAUUUAACAAAGAACAAGCCUUGUCUCUGCCUCCCCAUAGACCUUAUAACUGUGCUAUUGAGUUGUUUCCAGGGACCCCUUUUCCUUCAGCCCGGCUCUACAACCUGUCCAGACUUGAGAGAGAGGCCAUGGAAAAAUACAUCGGAGAUCCUCUGGCGGCAGGGCGCCACGGACUUCACGAAACUGGACCUGCGCAAUGCCUACCACCUCGUCAGGAUUCGGCAUGGAGAUGCGUGGAAGACAGCAUUUAAAACACCACUGGGGCAUUUCGAAUAUCUGAUAAUGCCUUUCGGACUCACUAAUGCACCUGCCUUUAUUCAAGCCAUGGUUAAUGAUGUGUUCCAUCCAUCCAUCAUCUUCCGCUUAUCCGGGGCCAGGUCGCGGGGGCAGCAGUCUAAGCAGGGAUGUCCAGACUUCCCUCUCCCCAGACACUUCCUCCAGCUCUUCCGAGGGGACACCGAGGCGUUCCCAGGCCAGCCGGGAGACAUAGUCCCUCCAGUGUGUCCUAGGUCUUCCCCGGGGUCUCCUCCCGGUGGGACGGGACCGGAACACCUUUCCAGGAAAGCUUUCCGGGGGCAUCCGAAACAGAUGCCCAAGCCACCUCAGCUGACCCCUCUCGAUGUGGAGGAGCAGCGGCUCUACUCUGAGCUCCUCCCGGGUGACCAAGCUUCUCACCCUAUCUCUAAGGGAUCGCCCAGCCACCCUGCGGAGAAAGCUCAUUUCGGCCGCUUGUAUCCGGGAUCUUGUCCUUUCGGUCAUCACCCAAAGCUCAUGACCAUAGGUGAGAGUAGGAACGUAGAUUGACCGGUAAAUCGAGAGCUUCGCCUUGUGGCUCAGCUCUUGCUUCACCACGACAGACUGAUACAUCGACCGCAUUACUGCAGAAGCUGCACUGAUCUGUCUGUCAAUCUCCCGUUCCAUCCUUCCCUCACUCGUGAACAAGACCCCUAGAUACUUAAACUCCUCCACUUGAGGCAAGCACUCUCCACCAACCUGAAGUGGGUUAGCCACCCUUUUCCGACUGACGACCAUGGCCUCGGAUUUGGAGGUACUGAUUCUCAUCCCCACCGCUUCACACUCGGCUGCAAACCGUCCCAGCGCAUGCUGAAGGUCCUGGUUUGAAGGGGCCAACACAACAACACCAUCCGCAAAGAGCAAAGACGAAAUACCCCAAACCUGACACCCUCCGGCCCCUGGCUGUGCCUAGAAAUUCUGUCCAUAAAAAUUAUGAACAGAACCGGCGACAAAGGGCAGCCCUGCCGGAGUCCAACAUGCACUGGGAACAAGUCUGACUUACUGCCGGCAAUGCGGACCAAGCUCCUACUUCGGUCGUAUAGGGACCUGACAGCCCUUAGCAAAGGACCCAGGACCCCAUAUUCCCGAAGCACCUUCCACAGGACGCCGCGAGGGACACAGUCGAAUGCCUUCUCCAAAUCCACAAAACACAUGUGGACUGGUUGGGCAAACUCCCAUGAACCCUCCAACACCCUGUAGAGGGUAUAGAGCUGGACGAAAACCACACUGUUCCUCCUGAAUCCGAGGUUCUACUAUCGGCCUAAUUCUCCUCUCCAGAACCCUGGCAUAGACUUUCCCGGGGAGGCUGCGAAGUGUGAUCCCCCUAUAGUUGGAACACACCCUCCGGUCCCCCUUUUUAUAAAGAGGGACCACCACCCCGGUCUGCCAUCCCAGAGGCACUGUCCCCGACCGCCACGCGAUCUUGCACAGGCGUGUCAACCAAGACAGCCCCACAACAUCCAGAGACUUGAGGUACUCAGGGCGGAUCUCAUCCACCCCCGGUGCCUUGCCACCUCUGAGCCCUCAUCCUCUGCUUCCUCAAUGGAAGACGUGAUGGCGGGAUUGAGGAGAUCCUCGAAGUACUCCUUCCACCGCCCGACGACAUCCCCAGUUGAGGUCAACAGCUGCCCACCUCUACUGUAAACAGCGUUGGUAGGGCACUGUUUCCCUCUCCUGAGGCGCCGGACGGUUUGCCAGAAUCUCUUUGAAGGCCAGCCGAUAGUCCUUCUCCAUGGCCUCACCGAACUCCUCCCAGGCCCGAGUUUUUGCCUCCACAACCACCCGGGCUGCAGUCCGCUUGGCCUGUCGGUACCCGUCAGCUGUCUCAGGAGUCCCACAAGCCAACCAGGCUUGAUAGGACUCCUUCUUCAGCUUGACGGCAUCCCUUACUUCCGGUGUCCACCACCGGGUUCGGGGAUUGCCGCCUCGACAGGCACCGGAGACCUUACGGCCACAGCUCCGAGCGGCCGCUUCGACAAUGGCGGUGGACAACAUGGUCCACUCGGACUCAAUAUCUCCAGCCUCCCUCGGGAUCCAGUCGAAGCUCUGCCGGAGGUGGGAGUUAAAGAUCCCUCUGACAGGAGACUCGGCCAGACGUUCCCAGCAGACCCUUACAGUACGCUUGGGCCUGCCGAGUCUGUCCAGCUUCCUCCACCCGCCAUCGGAUCCAACUCACCACCAGGUGGUGAUCAGUUGACAGCUCCGCCCCUCUCUUCACCCGAGUGUCCAAGACAUACGGC